CGGGGGGGGGGGGCAGCCGGGGCCGCUCCUCCUCCGCGGCCCGGGAGGGAUCGGCGACGGCAGCGAGGCAAAGGGAAAGCGAAAGGCGAAGGGAGCGAAGGGAAAGCGAAAGCGCAGCGCGGGGCACUGCGGAGCGGGACCCACGGGCACCACCCGCAGCAUCCCCGCCGGGGUCCCGCAGAGCUCGACACAGGGUUUAUACCCAGAAGAUACAGGGGAUGGACCUGGCCAGGAUGAAGAGGAUGACUUCAGGGGCCAGCGGCUGCUUCACGUCCACAGUGACAAGAAGACCCUGCAGGGACAGGGGACAUGGGGUCGGCGGGUGGCCACAGCAAGUCCUCUGGAUGGCCCCACGCCUGGCCCAGGAGAGGUCCCCCUCCGUGGGGUGCUUUCUGUUUGGGACAGGUGAAGGCUGAGAUCUUUUUGGCAUUUUCCGUGCGUCCUGCAGCCAAACCGCUGCCCUCUGCAUAAUGGUGCUGGGAACCCACCCAGGGGUGUCUGGAGGUCCCCUCCUGAGACAUGGAGUCCUUGUGGUCAAACCAAGCACGUUGGCGCCCAGCUGUGCUCUCAUACCGACGAAAGCCCUUUCCCACCUUACAUCUCCUCACCGUCAGAGGUUUUGUCCAGGCUCACCUGUCUGUCAUUACCUGCUUUAUCUUCCCUGAAGUUCCAACUCUGACCCACCAAGACCAUGACCAGAGCACCUCAGGCAUUCCUCUCUGUGCACCAGGAGCGGAGUCCUGGCUGGCCCUGAGACCCCCAUGCUCUACAAGCCUAGAAAACAGGUCCCGUUGUGGUAGAGGGGCCUCAGGCCAGCAGCCAGGGGGGUGGCAAUGCAUUCAAACCCCAUGCUACUUCUCACCUCUCCUCCUGCAUCUCCAGCGGUGCACCCAGGGGAGCAGAGGACCAUCGGAGCCGGUGCCUGAGGCUCGCACCACCGCCGAGGGCUGCCGGACCCGGGCAGGGGUCUCAACACCUUUGGGUGCUGCGGGGACCCCGCAGGGGUCGGUUUGAGGACAUGCUGUGUUAUCUGGCUUGAGAAAAUGGCAAUAGCUGGCUGUGAGGGUGUCGGCUCUCACCCUUUCUCCUUGACAUCUGGGAAAUUGCUUUUGAACUGCUUUAGACCCUAAAUUGCUGGUGGAAGAAAUCUGCAUACAGUAUUUUAAUAAUAUACUACACUGGAUUUGUUGGACUUUUUGAGGGAGGAAAGAGACCUGCACCCAUGGCCAGCCUUACCUCCAGUAGGCAGUGGGUCCUCGGUUAACUAUCCUACUCCAUAUGAAGUUAAAAUCAGAUUUGUCAUCUUAAAAUACAUCACUAUCCAAUAGUCAGGUCAUAUUUAGAGAAGAUUUGGUAAGUAACGUCUGCUGCACUGAAAAUUAAAUUAAGGGUGCUAAAAGGGAAUUUAAGGAAAAUGGGUUUUGAUACAAAUAAAGUCUUUGAAGACACCCACUUGGCAGGAUGCAUUUCUCCUCUAUACACCUAACUUGUUUGUAUGUGUCCUUCUGCUCCCUUCGAUGUGAACAUCAAGCUGGAAUGGAGCGAGGGCCAAAUUUAAGAUCUGAAACUGGAUGAGAUUAUAUUUCGUACUGCAUAAAAUGCACCUCUGGAAUUUUCAGUUCUUCUUUUCAGCAGCAUUACAAGCACUUUAUAAAGUGCCAGGGCUGAUGAGCUAAAAAAAAAAAAAAAAAAAAAAAAAAAAAGAAAGAAAAAAAACACAUACACACAACUUGUGGCUUUGGAUAUAUUCAUUUCAAGUUUGUGGUUAAUCUUUCCCAAGCUGCUUAGAGGUGAACGCCAGUUCAGUCAUCGCACUGCUUCUGCACCAGGCUUUGCUGCUGUUUCUAAAUGUCUCUGAUAAAAGGCUGUGAAAAAUGGA